rnacentral:rRNA from 1 species
GAUGAACGCUAGCGGCAGGCUUAAUACAUGCAAGUCGAGGGACAGCACAGGUAGCAAUACUGGGUGGUAACCGGCAAACGGGUGCGGAACACGUACACAACCUUCCCUUAAGUGGGGGAUAGCCCAGAGAAAUUUGGAUUAAUACCCCGUAAUAUAGUUGAAUAGCAUCAUUUGAUUAUUAUAGCUACGGCGCUUAAUGAUGGGUGUGCGGCUGAUUAGAUAGUUGGCGGGGUAACGGCCCACCAAGUCUACGAUCAGUAGCUGAUGUGAGAGCAUGAUCAGCCACACGGGCACUGAGACACGGGCCCGACUCCUACGGGAGGCAGCAGUAAGGAAUAUUGGUCAAUGGACGCAAGUCUGAACCAGCCAUGCCGCGUGAAGGAUUAAGGUCCUCUGGAUUGUAAACUUCUUUUAUUUGGGACGAAAAAGGGCCUUUCUAGGUCAACUGACGGUACCAGAUGAAUAAGCACCGGCUAACUCCGUGCCAGCCGCCGCGGUAACAC